CCCAGCAUCUGGGCUGUCUGGGUGUAAACUCAAGCUAGAUAUUUCAGAGCCACAGUCCCAGGCAGCUGCUAUGAAGGACCUCCGAGGAGGUGGCUGGGGUGGAGGUAUGCAGAGAAAAAAAUGACCCCGUCUAAAAUAUGCGAUUCCAAAGGAAAGAAGCAGAGCAAAUGCUCAGGGGGUAGACUUUGUCUUUUUAUUGGGUCUCACUUUAGUUCUUCAGUGAAAUGAGAUAAGAACAUCUGUCUCCUGCUAAACAGGAGCUACAUUCUUUCAGAGUUCUUAAGGGAUCAUCAGGUUUUACAUUAAAAAAUUGGAUUUCAGAACCUCCCAAGAUGGUGAUAUCUUGGUCAACUCCCUAGGCUGAAACUCCAGACAUGUGUUUCUUAAAGAGAGAUUCCACAGAGAAAAUAUAGGGAGCGGACAUGAACCAGAGCUGAGUUCCUGCACUUAGUUAUGUGUGAUUCAGAAACAGUUCUGGAGCAAAAAGCAUGAAUUAAACACAGACCCUGCCCUCAAGGAACUUCAAGUCUAAUAGCAGAGGUGAACCAGUGCAUAUCACUUAUACUCAUGGAAGACCAAGGGAAAAAAGAAGAAGAAAAAGAAGGAUGUUGAAAGAACAAGAUUACAAGACCAGCAAUGAUGAAUUUUAAGGAAGAGACACAUGGAUCCACCGAUGAUAAUGGGCACAGAAAUUGAGAAUAGGAAACAGUGAAAAGACGGCCAUCUGCAAACCAGGAAGAGGGUUCCUGACUGACACCAGAUCUGCCAGUACCUGAGUCUUGGACCUUUGAGCCUCCAGAAUUGUGAGAAGUCACACUCCCUUGGUCUGAUUAACUUUUGGCGAUCCGUCACCAACUGUACUGGAACUUUCUCUGAGCUGCUGUUACUGCAAAAAUACCAGAAGCUAGCAACUUGAAGGAUUUAAUUGGAGAUGAAGGAAAACUGUAUUGAGAGAUAACACCUCUCCAUGUAAGAAGCAAAGAAAAGGCAUGUUUCUCUUUUCUGUGUAUUAUUAGAACUUGUCUGCCCUCCUCAGCGCAUCAGCACUAAUGAUGCUGAAGUCCAUGAAAGAUAAUUGCCUUGAGUCAUUCUCUAGCCACAGAGAAGGUAAGAUUAAUAAAGAACAUUUGUUAUAAUUUUGCAACCAAUUUAUAUAAUGGAACUCAUAAUAAAUAACCACAUUUAACACAAGCAUUCAUCAAAGCCAAUUUACACAUCAAUUUGUUCACUAUGUGUUAAACCAACCAUUUGUAAGAAUAAGUUGGUUUCUUCCUGUGACCCCUUUUCUCUUUAUUAUAGUAGAAAUUAUUGUUAGAUAUGGUAAUUUGGGGGGCUUUUAUAGAGGCAGCAUUGAUAAUGAUAUAUGUUGACUCCUCAGCUGUUGCUACAUGAUGUAUAAUUUUGCACAGCAUGUUGCUUCUGUGUGGACUAAGAGGAAAUUAUUGUUUUAAAAAUAUAAAACU